rnacentral:tRNA from 1 species
CCUGGUGGCUCAGACAGUAAAGCGUCUGCCUGCAAAGCGGGCAACCCGGGUUCGAUUCCUGGGUCAGGA